rnacentral:rRNA from 1 species
CACUGGUCGAGUGACUCUGCGCCGAAAAUUUAACGGGGCUAAACUAUACACCGAAGCUUGGGAUACAUCUAAUGUAUGGUAGGAGAGCGUUCUGUAUGGGGAGAAGUCGUAGCGAAAGCGGCGGUGGACUGUACAGAAGUGAGAAUGCCGGAAUAAGUAGCGAGAAUUAAGUGAGAAUCUUAAUGGCCGAAAGUCUAAGGUUUUUGGAGGAAGGUUCGUCCGCUCCAAGUAAGUCGGGAGCUAAGGUCAGGCCGAAAGGCGUAGCCGAUGCACAUACGGUUGAUAUUCCGUAACCAUCUGUAAUUUAAGCAAAGGGACACUUCAAAAGGGUGUGACCCGGGCGUUGGUUGACCCGGGCGUAAGGGACCGAAAUUAGAGUAGGGAAGCACACUUAGCUGAAGGCGAGAAAAGCUUUGCGUAUAGAAACAGAUGCCCGUACCGCAAACCGACACAGGUGGACAGGAAGAGAAUUCUAAGGCCAGCGGGAGAAGGGUAGUUAAGGAACUCGGCAAAUUGACUCCGUAACUUCGGAAUAAGGAGUGCUCGAAAGAGCCGCAGAGAAUAGGCCCAGGCGACUGUUUAGCAAAAACACAGGUCUCUGCCAAAUCGAAAGAUGAAGUAUAGGGGCUGACACCUGCCCGGUGCCGGAAGGUUAAGAGGAGGAGUGAGAGCUCCGAAUUGAAGCCCCGGUAAACGGCGGCCGUAACUAUAACGGUCCUAAGGUAGCGAAAUUCCUUGUCGGGUAAGUUCCGACCCGCACGAAUGGUGUAACGAUCUGGGCACUGUCUCAACUACCCACCCGGCGAAAUUGUAGUACCGGUGAAGAUGCCGGUUACCUGCGGCAAGACGGAAAGACCCCAUGGAGCUUUACUGUAGCCUGAUAUUGGGUUUCGGAAAUCUAUGUACAGGAUAGGCGGGAGACUAGGAAACAUGAGCGUCAGCUUGUGUGGAGUCGAUGUUGGGAUACCGCCCUUAGGUUUCUGGAAUUCUAACCUGCGGCCGUGAAUCCGGUCGGGGGACAUUGUCAGGUGGGCAGUUUGACUGGGGCGGUCGCCUCCGAAAAGGUAACGGAGGCGCUCAAAGGUUAGCUCAGCACGGACGGAAACCGUGCCUCUGAGUGUAAACGCAAAAGCUAGCCUAACUGCGAGGGUGACGGCCCGAGCAGUAACGAAAGUUGGAGUUAGUGAUCCGGCGGUAUGU